AGGACGAACGCUGGCGGCGUGCUUAACACGUGCAAGUCAUGGGGGCCCGCAAGGGCAACCGGCGAACGGGUGCGUAACACGUGAGCAAUCUGCCUAAGAUGUGGGGGAUAGCCGGCCCAACGGCCGGGUAAUACCGCAUACGCUCUCCUGGUGGCAUCACCGGGUGAGGAAACCCUUCGGGGGCAUCUAGAGGAGCUCGCGGCCUAUCAGCUAGUUGGUGAGGUAAUGGCUCACCAAGGCUUUGACGGGUA
rnacentral:rRNA from 1 species